rnacentral:rRNA from 1 species
GACGAACGCUGGCGGCGUGCUUAACACAUGCAAGUCGAACGGAAAGGCCCCUUUGGGGGUACUCGAGUGGCGAACGGGUGAGUAACACGUGAGUAACCUGCCCUUGACUUCGGGAUAACUUCAGGAAACUGGGGCUAAUACCGGAUAGGAAUCCUUGCUGCAUGGUGGGGGUUGGAAAGCUUCGGCGGUUUUGGAUGGACUCACGGCUUAUCAGCUUGUUGGUGGGGUAGUGGCUUACCAAGGCUUUGACGGGUAGCCGGCCUGAGAGGGCGACCGGCCACAUUGGGACUGAGAGACGGCCCAGACUCCUACGGGAGGCAGCAGUGGGGAAUAUUGCACAAUGGGCGGAAGCCUGAUGCAGCAACGCCGCGUGCGGGAUGACGGCCUUCGGGUUGUAAACCGCUUUCAGCAGGGGCGAAGCUUGUGGUGACGGUACCUGCAGAAGAAGCACCGGCUAACUACGUG